CAUGGCUCAGAUUGAACGCUGGCGGCAGNCUAACACAUGCAAGUCGAGCGGUAGAGAGAAGCUUGCUUCUCUUGAGAGCGGCGGACGGGUGAGUAAUGCCUAGGAAUCUGCCUGGUAGUGGGGGGAUAACGUUCGGAAACGGACGCUAAUNCCGCAUACGUCCUACGGGAGAAAGCAGGGGACCUUCGGGCCUUGCGCUAUCAGAUGAGCCUAGGUCGGAUUAGCUAGUUGGUGAGGUAAUGGCUCACCAAGGCGACGAUCCGUAACUGGUCUGAGAGGAUGAUCAGUCACACUGGAACUGAGACACGGUCCAGACUCCUACGGGAGGCAGCAGUGGGGAAUAUUGGACAAUGGGCGAAAGCCUGAUCCAGCCAUGCCGCGUGUGUGAAGAAGGUCUUCGGAUUGUAAAGCACUUUAAGUUGGGAGGAAGGGCAUUAACCUAAUACGUUAGUGUUUUGACGUUACCGACAGAAUAAGCACCGGCUAACUCUGUGCCAGCAGCCGCGGUAAUACAGAGGGUGCAAGCGUUAAUCGGAAUUACUGGGCGUAAAGCGCGCGUAGGUGGUUUGUUAAGUUGGAUGUGAAAUCCCCGGGCUCAACCUGGGAACUGCAUUCAAAACUGACUGACUAGAGUAUGGUAGAGGGUGGUGGAAUUUCCUGUGUAGCGGUGAAAUGCGUAGAUAUAGGAAGGAACACCAGUGGCGAAGGCGACCACCUGGACUAAUACUGACACUGAGGUGCGAAAGCGUGGGGAGCAAACAGGAUUAGAUACCCUGGUAGUCCACGCCGUAAACGAUGUCAACUAGCCGUUGGAAGCCUUGAGCUUUUAGUGGCGCAGCUAACGCAUUAAGUGACCGCC
rnacentral:rRNA from 1 species